CCAAUAGCGUAUAUUAAAGUUGUUGCAGUUAAAAAGCUCGUAGUUGAAUUUCGGGAUUUAUCCGUUGGUCGGGCUUUUGGGUCUGUACUGGCGUGAUGGAUUCCUACCUUCUGAAUAACCGGCAUGUCAUUAAUUUGGUGCGCUGGGGAAGCAGGACUGUUACCUUGAAAAAAUUAGAGUGCUUAAAGCAGGCUAUUGCCUGAAUCCAUUAGCAUGGAAUAAUGAAAUAGGACGGCAUGGUUCUAUUUUGUUGGUUUCUAGGAUCACCGUAAUGAUUAAUAGGGAUAGUUGGGGGCAUUAGUAUUCAAUUGUCAGAGGUGAAAUUCUUGGAUUUAUUGAAGACUAACUUCUGCGAAAGCAUUUGCCAAGGAUGUUUUCAUUAAUCAAGAACGAAAGUUAGGGGAUCGAAGACGAUCAGAUACCGUCGUAGUCUUAACCAUAAACUAUGCCGACUAGGGAUCGGACGAUGUUAAUUUUUUAAUGACUCGUUCGGCGCCUUACG
rnacentral:rRNA from 1 species